rnacentral:rRNA from 1 species
CAGUCGCCGCGGUAAUACGAAGGGGGCUAGCGUUGCUCGGAAUGACUGGGCGUAAAGGGAGCGUAGGCGGAUCGUUAAGUUGGGGGUGAAAGCCCGGGGCUCAACCUCGGAAUUGCCUUCAAUACUGGCGAUCUUGAGUAUGGAAGAGGUAUGUGGAACUCCGAGUGUAAAGGUGAAAUUCGUAGAUAUUCGGAAGAACACCAGUGGCGAAGGCGACAUACUGGUCCAUUACUGACGCUGAGGCUCGAAAGCGUGGGGAGCAAACAGGAUUAGAUACCCCCGUAGUCCCUGUCUCUUAUAC